UACAGAGGCCACGAGCGUUAGGCGGAAUCACUGGGCUUAAAGCGUGUGUAGGUGGAUGACUAAGUACCUUGUGAAAUCCCACGGCUCAACCGUGGAACUGCUUGGUAUACUGGUUGUCUUGAGGCACUCAGGGGCGAGCGGAACAGAUGGUGGAGCGGUGAAAUGCGUAGAUAUCAUCUGGAACGCCAAUGGUGAAGACAGCUCGCUAGGGGUGUACUGACACUGAGACACGAAAGCCAGGGGAGCAAACGGG
rnacentral:rRNA from 1 species